rnacentral:rRNA from 1 species
GACGAACGCUGGCGGCGUGCUUAACACAUGCAAGUCGAACGGAAAGGCCCUGCUUGCAGGGUGCUCGAGUGGCGAACGGGUGAGUAACACGUGGGUGAUCUGCCCCUUACUUUGGGAUAAGCCUGGGAAACUGGGUCUAAUACUGGAUAGGACCAUGCUGUAGGUGGUGUGGUGGAAAGAUUAGUUUCGGUAAGGGAUGAGCUCGCGGCCUAUCAGCUUGUUGGUGGGGUAAUGGCCUACCAAGGCGUCGACGGGUAGCCGGCCUGAGAGGGUGGACGGCAACAUUGGGACUGAGAUACGGCCCAGACUCCUACGGGAGGCAGCAGUGGGGAAUAUUGCACAAGGGGCGCAAGCCUGAUGCAGCGACGCCGCGUGGGGGAUGACGGCCUUCGGGUUGUAAACUCCUUUCAGCCAUGACGAAGCCCUUGUGGUGACGGUAGUGGUAGAAGAAGCACCGGCUAACUACGUG